GGUGUGAACACUUCCUUCUGCCUACCCAGCAUGUCACUUUCCCAAAGCAGGGUCUCAGAGAUACAGAAUUGCACAGAGAGAGUCCCAGUCCACAGAGAAGGUGAAAACAUAAAUGAUCUCGAGUGUUGCUGACUCUCACAUCCAACAGAGCAUCCAACAGAGGCUCACACAGGUGGCCAUCUGACCAAAGCCAGCCCUCUGUAAGUUGACUUAGCCUAUGUAGCAUUUUAAAAAAUAUCUUCAUUGGUCUCUGAAAUUUAAAAGUUGAGAUAUUUCACAUUAAAAAAAAAAAACAAAAAAAAACACAAGAUUGCUGGUGUAGAAGAGAAAAGUGUCCUUCAUUUUGCCAUGUGCUGGCCUCACUUUUUAUUGUACAUUUCUGGCCAGUCUCCUGGGGGGCACUUGAGUUUGCAACUCCCAUGUGUACAGGGCUCUGGGGUUCGGGAGGGAGAAACAUAAGCAUGUAGGCCAAAGACUCAGUGAAAGCCCCAGUUUUGGGAGGAUUUUCUGGUCUUGCUUGGAGAAAGAUGACUCACGAGGCCAGCAUGUGUCUCUUGCCGAGCCAGGUUUCCUUUCCUACUUUGUUUUUAUAAAGCAGAAAUAGAAGUUUCCAUAACGUGGUGCAACUCCACCCAGCAGGCCUUGGGAAGCCGCUGCUAUCUGUGAGCGUCCAAGGGAGAGCUUUGGUUGGGAGCCUGCUAUUGCUCAUGGAGCUGUGAGCACAGCGGGACAGCAUGUGCUCGUCUCCACUGUUGGCUCUGCCUGAAGAUGGGGACUCCGUACUGCGUUCCUCCUUGGGUGAGACUGUCAAAGAGCUGGGUCCCUCAGGCCACAAAAGAGUGGGGUAGGAGAAUCAGAGACUUAGUCCAGGUUCUACAACUAACCAAUCCAUCUAUUUAUCAUCCAUCCAUCCAUCCAUCCAUCCAUCAUCCAUCCAUACAUCAUACAUCCAUCUAUCCAUCCAUCCAUCUAUCCAUCCAUCCAUUCAUCCAUCCAUCCAUCCAUCCAUCCAUCCAUCCAUCCUUUUAUCCAUCCAUCCAUCCAUCCAUCCAUCCAUCCAUCCUUUUAUCCAUCCAUCUAAGGACUGUUUAUUGAGCACCUACCAUGUUUCAGACACCCCAUGCUAUACUUUGAAGAGACAGAAAUAAAAUAGACACAGACUGCACUAUCCUCAUAAAGUCUACAGUCAGGUGGGAAAGGCAGAUAUCAAAAAUGUAGUAAUAGAUGAAGAUUUGGGAGCAACCAAAACGUCCAUUGAUAGAUUGGUUAAAUGCAAUUUGGCUUAUUCUAGCAUGAGAUACCAUGUGGCCCUUAAAUGAAGCAGAUCCCUAUAUGGUGACAGAACAACACCUAAGUGACAAAAGUGAAGGCACAGGCAAUGACUGCACUUCAUGUCCAUUUCUACAAAACAAGAGCCUUGGAUAGGCUUUGAUAUAUUGGUUCUUGUAGAGAAGGUCUCUGGAAGGAUCUGCAGGAAAUUGGGAAAAGUUGGUGUCUAGUGAGAAAGCUGGGGUACUAGGGUUCAAAGAGGUGAGAGAGUUUUUGUGCUGCUUGAAUGUUUUAUUUUGAAUGUUUUAUUUUUUGAAUGUGUAAUGUUUUGUCAAUAAUAUGGCAAGGAAAUUUUAGAGAUGUUGGUCAAAGAAUACAAAAUUUCAGUUAGACAGGAGGAAUAAAUUCGAG
rnacentral:lncRNA from 1 species